rnacentral:rRNA from 1 species
GAUGAACGCUGGCGGCGUGCUUAAUACAUGCAAGUCGAACGAAGCAUCUCGCCCGAUGAUUGACCUAGCUUGCUAGAGAUUGAUUCAACUGAGAUGACUGAGUGGCGGACGGGUGAGUAACGCGUGGGUAACCUGCCUUAUACAGGGGGAUAACAGUUGGAAACGACUGCUAAUACCGCAUAAGCGCACAGUACCGCAUGGUACCGUGUGAAAAACUCCGGUGGUAUAAGAUGGACCCGCGUCUGAUUAGCUAGUUGGUAAGGUAACGGCUUACCAAGGCAACGAUCGGUAGCCGACUUGAGAGAGUGAUCGGCCACAUUGGGACUGAGACACGGCCCAAACUCCUACGGGAGGCAGCAGUAGGGAAUAUUGCACAAUGGGGGAAACCCUGAUGCAGCGACGCCGCGUGAAGGAUGAAGUAUUUCGGUAUGUAAACUUCUAUCAGCAAGGAAGAAA